GCUCAAAUUUGAAAUCUGGCACCUUCGGUGUCCGAGUUGUAAUUUGAAGAAGGUAACUUUGGAGUCAGCUCUUGUCUAUGUUCCUUGGAACAGGACGUCACAGAGGGUGAGAAUCCCGUGCGAUGAGAUGUCUGAUUCUAUGUAAAGUGCUUUCGAAGAGUCGAGUUGUUUGGGAAUGCAGCUCUAAGUGGGUGGUAAAUUCCAUCUAAAGCUAAAUAUUGGCGAGAGACCGAUAGCGAACAAGUACAGUGAUGGAAAGAUGAAAAGAACUUUGAAAAGAGAGUGAAAAAGUACGUGAAAUUGUUGAAAGGGAAGGGUUUGAGAUCAGACUUGGUAUUUUGUAUGUCUUGCUUUCGGGUGGGGCCUCUACAGUUUACUGGGCCAGCAUCGGUUUGGACGGUAGGAUAAUGACAUUGGAAUGUGGCACCACUUCGGUGGUGUGUUAUAGACUUUGUUGAUACUGCCUGUCUAGACCGAGGACUGCGUCUUUGACUAGGAUGCUGGCAUAAUGAUCUUAAACCGCC
rnacentral:rRNA from 1 species